rnacentral:rRNA from 1 species
UACGUAGGGAGCAAGCGUUGUCCGGAAUCAUUGGGCGUAAAGCGCGCGUAGGUGGCCAUUUAAGUCCGCUGUGAAAGUCAAAGGCUCAACCUUUGAAAGCCGGUGGAUACUGGGUGGCUAGAGUACGGAAGAGGCGAGUGGAAUUCCUGGUGUAGCGGUGGAAUGCGCAGAUAUCAGGAGGAACACCAAUAGCGAAGGCGGGUCUCUGGGCCGAUACUGACGCUGAGGAGCGAAAGCGUGGGGAGCGAACAGG